AUUGAACGCUGGCGGCAGGCCUAACACAUGCAAGUCGAACGGUAACAGGAAGAAGCUUGCUUCUUUGCUGACGAGUGGCGGGCGGGUGAGUAAUGUCUGGGAAACUGCCUGAUGGAGGGGGAUAACUACUGGAAACGGUAGCUACUACCGCAUAACGUCACAAGACCAAAGAGGGGGACCUUCGGGCCUCUUGCCAUCGGCUGUGCCCAGGUGGGAUUAGCUAGUAGGUGGGGUAACGGCUCACCUAGGCGACGAUCCCUAGCUGGUCUGAGAGGAUGACCAGCCACACUGGAACUGAGACACGGUCCAGACUCCUACGGGAGGCAGCAGUGGGGAAUAUUGCACAAUGGGCGCAAGCCUGAUGCAGCCAUGCCGCGUGUAUGAAGAAGGCCUUCGGGUUGUAAAGUACUUUCAGCGGGGAGGAAGGGAGUAAAGUUAAUACCUUUGCUCAUUGACGUUACCCGCAGAAGAAGCACCGGCUAACUCCGUG
rnacentral:rRNA from 1 species